GCACCCCAGCCUGGGAGGUCCGAUGCAGAGGGUGACCCCUCCGAGGGGAAUGGCCAGUGUUGGGCCCCAGGGCUUUGGAACUGGCAUGCGUCCCCCACCCAAUUCCCUUGCCACCAGCCAGAUCCUGCCAUCCAUGAACAUGGGUCCGGGAGUGCGUGGCCCGUGGGCCAGUCCCAGCGGUAACUCGAUCCCGUACUCUUCCUCAUCUCCUGGCAGCUACUCGGGACCGACAGGAGGAGGUGGCGCCCCCGGAACACCCAUCAUGCCCAGCCCUGGAGACUCCACCAACUCCAGCGAGAACAUGUACACCAUCAUGAAUCCCAUCGGGCCGGGCGCUGGCAGGGCUAACGUGAGUGGGGGCCGGUGCGCCUCACCCGAUGGGGACCUC
rnacentral:lncRNA from 1 species